rnacentral:rRNA from 1 species
GAUGAACGCUGGCGGCGUGCCUAAUACAUGCAAGUCGAGCGAACGGACGAGAAGCUUGCUUUUCUGAUGUUAGCGGCGGACGGGUGAGUAACACGUGGAUAACCUACCUAUAAGACUGGGAUAACUUCGGGAAACCGGAGCUAAUACCGGAUAAUAUUUUGAACCGCAUGGUUCAAAAGUGAAAGACGGUCUUGCUGUCACUUAUAGAUGGAUCCGCGCUGCAUUAGCUAGUUGGUAAGGUAACGGCUUACCAAGGCAACGAUGCAUAGCCGACCUGAGAGGGUGAUCGGCCACACUGGAACUGAGACACGGUCCAGACUCCUACGGGAGGCAGCAGUAGGGAAUCUUCCGCAAUGGGCGAAAGCCUGACGGAGCAACGCCGCGUGUGUGAUGAAGGUCUUCGGAUCGUAAAACUCUGUUAUUAGGGAAGAACAUAUGUGUAAGUAACUGUGCAGAUCUUGACGGUACCUAAUCAGAAAGCCACGGCUAACUACGUG